UACGCACGCUGGCGGCGUGCUUAACACAUGCAAGUCGAACGGAAAGGCCCUGCUUUUGUGGGGUGCUCGAGUGGCGAACGGGUGAGUAACACGUGAGUAACCUGCCCUUGACUUUGGGAUAACUUCAGGAAACUGGGGCUAAUACCGGAUAGGAGCUCCUGCUGCAUGGUGGGGGUUGGAAAGUUUCGGCGGUUGGGGAUGGACUCGCGGCUUAUCAGCUUGUUGGUGGGGUAGUGGCUUACCAAGGCUUUGACGGGUAGCCGGCCUGAGAGGGUGACCGGCCACAUUGGGACUGAGAGACGGCCCAGACUCCUACGGGAGGCAGCAGUGGGGAAUAUUGCACAAUGGGCUGAAGCCUGAUGCAGCAACGCCGCGUGCGGGAUGACGGCCUUCGGUUUGUAAACCGCUUUCGCCUGUGACGAAGCGUGAGUGACGGUAAUGGGUAAAGAAGCACCGGCUAACUACGUG
rnacentral:rRNA from 1 species